rnacentral:lncRNA from 1 species
AGGAAGUGCGUGCCAAUGAUUAUGCUCAGUGACUUAUUAAUAGCUAACAUUUACAGAGUACUAUGCCAGGCAGGAGUGCUUUAUGUGUACACUCACCCCUCAGAAUUCCUGGGGAGUUGGUUCCAGGACCCCUGCAGAUGCCAGCGUUUGUGGAUGCUCACAUCUCUUAUAUGUAGUGGUGUAGUAUUUGUGUACAACCAACAUAAGUCCUCCUUUAUACUUUAAAUUACCCUUGGAUUACCUAUGAUACCUAGUACAUUGUAAAUGUCAUGGAAAUCAUUGCCAAUGCAAGUUCAACUUUUGCUUUUUGGAACUUUCUGGAAUGUUUUCAUUUUCAGUACUCUACUUGGUUGAAUCCCCAGAUGUGGAACCCACAGAUAUGGAGGGCCAUCUGUAUUAACUUACUUAGUUCUCCAACAAGCUUAUUUUCUUUUUCAUGGCUGCAUGUGCUGCAUAUGGAAGUUACUAGGCUACAGGUCAAAUCAGAGCUGUAGCUGCUGCCCUAUGCCACAGCCAUAGAAACACUGGAUCCGAGCCAUGUCUAUGACCCACACCACAGCUUACAGCAAUGCUGGAUCCUUUAACCCACUGGACGAGGCCAGGGGUCGAACCUGCAUCCUUGUGGAUACUAGUUGGGUUCUCAACCCGCUGAGCAACAACUGGAACUCCUCCAACAAGCUUUUGAGAAUAAAUAACAUGCUUAAGGGUUCUAGAGGUCACAAGAGGCAGAGUACGCCUCUUAACCAAUGCACCAUACUAUCUAUCUAAUUAACUUCCAUCCCAGCUCUGCAAACUAAGGGUUUUCUUCACUUUACAAAUGGAAGAAAUUCAAGCCCAGAGAGGUUACCUUUGUCAGUCACUGGUGGCCGUGGCAGAAGAAGGAUUUAAACCAAGAGCUGACUCUCUCAAAGGUCUGUGACUUUUCACUUCUUGGAAAGGCUCUGUGGCCCAGCUGACACCCACAAAAAUAUGAGAGGUCUGACUCCUUCCUGGUAAAGACAGUCAAGGUGAUAAAGAAGCCUGUGAAGGUUGCUAAUAAUCUGUUGUAAGGCAAUAGAAUAGUUGUUUACUGAAGCAUGAGAAACCCCUUCUGGUUCAGCUCUUACAGAAAUCGUCUGUCUCUGUCCUCAACCUGGGUUGUGCUUGCUUGCUUUUGGUAUUCUCCUUUUCAGUACACUGGGCUCUUCUAUUCCUGUUUAUAAAUCUUUUAAGUGUGCACAUUACAGAAGUAAUUAAAUUGUCAUUAUAAUUUAUGGUAUGCCUGAAGUCAAUCAUCUAAUUAAACUACAAGAGAAGAGAGGUGGUAGGUUCAUAUGCAUUUAUGAAGUAUUACUGUAUUAAUUAUUCAAAGAUUUUGAACUGAGAAAAAGAGAAAAUGAAUGGUAACACUAGUCCUUCAAGGUUUUUCUAUUUCUGCUCUUCUCGGUUUGGUAGUAUGGGAUCCUCACUAGUUAGCAGCAUAACCUUACUGUCUUUGGGGAUUAAUUUUUAAUGGAAUUAGGAUUUUUAUGUCUUUCACUCAGCAUUUUCUUUUAAUGCUCCUGGUAGCAUUUAUUCACACCAUUCUAUGUCCUAACUGAAUAAGCAUUUAGGAAUAUCAGAGAACAAAAUUUGAAUUCAUGAGUUAUAUUGUUAUAUUUGACAGUCUACAUUCUGUCCUGAAUUAUAAAAACGGUACAUGUCAGAUACCUGGAAUCGUCUAGAGGAGACUUGAUUUUCCCAGAGCAGUAAUGACUGUUAAGAUGCUUAUUUUCUUACUAAGGAAUUAAAAAAAAAAAAAAAAACCCACAGCAACAAAAACCAAAACCAAAUAGGCUAUAAUUAAACUCUUGCUGGAAGAAACUAUUUUUGAAGAGUCUAUUUUUCAAUUCUAAGCUCUAGCACAUAUAUAAGUAUAUUUAUUAUGUGAGGUGAGAAGUGAUAAUUUGGAUAGGUGUUUUAGCCCCUUGGGAGGUAAUUGUAGUGUGUAAUGGAAUUGGCUGAAUUUGUUCUUUUGGAAUGUGGGCCUUCAGGAAGAGGAGACUACUGAGAGACACCAUUGAGUGUUACCAUAUGAGGAACAGAUUAUGUGCAAUGAAUUUACUCCUCCUCAUAUUUAAUUUUUGGGGGGGGUGGAUUGAAUUGAAGGCAGUAAUUCCAAAAGAGGCAAUCC